rnacentral:tRNA from 3 species
GGAGAGAUGGAUGAGUGGUUUAAAUCAACAGUUUACUAAACUGUCGACCCUUAAUUGGGUCCGCGAGUUCGAAUCUCGCUCUCUCCGCCA